UUGCCAUACAGAUGAGCUGGCUGCCGGCAGGUAAUUCCUGGGCUCUGGCACAUGCUGCUCCUGCAGGCUGUGCACUCAGGUGAUAUAAAAGCUGCAUGUGCCAUGUGCCCGGCACACACCAUGCUGGCAGUGGCAGCCCUUCAUGUAAUUUCCCUAAUUACAGAUUUAUGGCACGGUCGUGUUUGACCAACCUCAAAUGGCAAAUGGCAGAAUAAAGAGAUUGAACACCA